rnacentral:lncRNA from 1 species
AUAUAUUAAUUUAAUUUUUUAAUUUAAAAAAUUAAAAAAUCUAUAUUAUACACAUCUUUUUUAACACGUGUCAGUGUCAUCAGGCCACAUCACACACUAACUGACGCCGUUUGAUGGAAUUGACGGAAAGGACUUAUUUGGAUCAAAUUAACAAAAAUAGGGACCUAAUUGAGACGUUAAAAAAGAAAGGGACCUAUUUGAAAUUUUGGACGAAAAUAGGAACCUAUUGAGACAUUAAACCUAAAAUAAAACAAAAGUAUAAAAUACAAACCAAUACAAAUAACUAACAGAAAAAUAUACAAACUAAACAGACACAUAUCUCCACCACCAUGAAACCACAGUAAUUAGCCACCCCCACCGCAUCCACCACCGCAUCCACCACCGCAUCCACCACCACCACAUCCACCACCGCCACAGCCACUUCCUCCGCCACAUCCACAGCAGCCACAGCCACCUCCUUCUCCACCAGUUCCAUAAACAGAAGCAGUGUUUGCUGUUGCAGCAGGAGGGGGAGUCAAAAUAACCAUAUUACCAUCUUUAGCAUCACCAACACCUCUGACUCUGUCAGAGCUAGCUUUGGAGGUAUGACACUGUUGAGCAUUGCUACCUGUAAAAGUUUUAUCCAAACCUUUUAAUCUUCCACUGCUCUUGGAUUCUUUAUCAUCCCUUUUAUUUCUUCCUCCGAAGCAACACCACCCCAUGUUUUCUUUUCGACGACACUGGCCUUCACUCUCAACUUCCUAUGCAAUUAAUAUAAGGUUAAAGUCCAGCGCAACGGAAGGUAUUGAAAAUUUCCCCGCAAUGACAUCAUAAUUUCC